UCCCCAGUGGCUCAGUCGGUAAAGAAUCUGCCUGCAAUGCAGGAGACCCAGGUUUGAUCCCUGGGUUGGGAA
rnacentral:tRNA from 1 species